GCCCGCCUAGCUCAAUCGGAUAGAGCGUGUGACUUUUAUAACCGUUUGUCACAUCACGGUGGCAAUCACAAGGCUGCGAGUUCGACCCUCGCGGUGGGCU